rnacentral:lncRNA from 1 species
GCAAACUGAAGCAAAACUAUUACGUGGAAAUUUUAAAAAUGGUUAACCACAAAAUGUGUAUUAGUUUUUACUACUUACAAAACUUAUUAGAAAAAAGAGAAAAAACAUAUUUAGACAUACCACCGCAAGAAGAGUACUUUUUUUUUUGAGUCAGAUGACACAACGUAUUCUAUUAAUGGUGAUAGUAGUGAAGAAGACAACACUAACGAUGAUAAUCUGAUAAAAGAAAAAAAAAAAGACAAAAAAAAAAACAGUAGUAAUAACACUAAUGAUUUAAUUAAUAAAAGUAACAAUAAUGAUAAUCAAGCUGACGACAGUAGCAAAAAGAAUAAUGAAAUCAUAAAAGAUGAAGCCAAAUAUUUAUCUGAGUUAUUUAACAUUAAUAAUAAAGAGGUUGAUUUAAUUAAAUAUAUUGAUUUAUAUAAAAAUAAUAAUUUUAAUGGAUAUAAUAUAUUUUUUGAAAAUUUAGAUAAUAUAAAAAUUGAUUCAGAUAUAUUUAUUUUUAAUAAAAACAAUGAAUAUUAUAAAUAUAUAUUCACAAAUAACUAUUAUGAUUUUUUAUUAUAUAUAUCUUAUGCUAAUGAGGAAGAACACAAUGGGUAUAUACAGUAUAAUAACUACUUAUAUAAUUUGCCAAGAUAUUUAUAUGAAUUAAAAAUAAAUAGAGGAUAUUAUAAUAUAAUGACUAUAGAUGAUCUAGUUUUGUAUAAACAAUUAAUUUAUGAAUGUUAUUCAAUGGAAUUAAAGUAUAUGUUCGAAAACUUUUGCUUCCAGUUUAAACAAGUUGAUACAGGUAACAGCGGAUAUGUACAUAGAAAUGUUUUAAAAAAAGCCCUUUUGCAAAAUGACCAUAUAAUAUCGAGGCAAGAAUAUAAACUGUUACUUAACGUAUUUUCUUUUAACGAUGACAAUUAUGUGUAUUACAAAAAUUUAAAGGAGGUCGUUUUACGGCUACGAUUUGAAGGCAUAAAAAAUAGCAUAUUCGAAAAAGAUAAAAAGUUACUACAAAAAUACUUAUGUGAAGAGCUAUUAAAGCAUAAUCUGAAAAAUCAAAAAAAAAUUCAUAUAUGCAAUUGUAAAAAUGUGUUAGAUGGCUGUGACAAAUUAUACCUAAAUAAAAAUAUUAUUCAUAUAAUAUUAUGUUCGUUAAAUUUUGACACAAAUUUAAACGUCGACAUCUUAUUAUUUUUACAAACUUCAGUUACCAUCAUAAUAAACAGUAUUAACUUAAAAUAUAUGCAAAAAAUAUAUAAUAACAUAAUUAAUGAAAAAAAAAAAAAAAAGAGUAUCAAGAUGAUGAUUCGAAAAAAGGGAAUCAGAAAAAUAGGGACAUUGUUAGAAAGAGCAAGGAAGCGGUAUAGCAAGUGAAACUGCUUUUAAAGAGAAAAAAAAAAAAAAAA